rnacentral:rRNA from 1 species
GACAGCAGUCGCCGCGGGAAUACGGAGGAUCCAAGCGUUAUCCGGAAUCAUUGGGUUUAAAGGGUCCGUAGGCGGUCUUGUAAGUCAGUGGUGAAAGCCCAUCGCUCAACGGUGGAACGGCCAUUGAUACUGCAGGACUUGAAUUAUUGGGAAGUAACUAGAAUAUGUAGUGUAGCGGUGAAAUGCUUAGAGAUUACAUGGAAUACCAAUUGCGAAGGCAGGUUACUACCAAUUGAUUGACGCUGAUGGACGAAAGCGUGGGUAGCGAACAGGAUUAGAUACCCCUGUAGUCCCUGUCUCUUAUAC